UGCUUUGUAGUUUAUGUGGAUAAAACAUGGAUUUUGUAAAUCUAAGAUUAAAAGGCAAUC
rnacentral:tRNA from 1 species